GAUGAAGAACGUAGUGAAAUGCGAUAAGUAGUGUGAAUUGCAGAAUUCAGUGAAUCAUCGAAUCUUUGAACGCACAUUGCGCCCUUUGGUAUUCCAAAGGGCAUGCCUGUUCGAGCGUCAUUUGUACCCUCAAGCUUUGCUUGGUGUUUGGCGUCUUGUCUCUAGCUUUGCUGGAGACUCGCCUUAAAGUAAUUGGCAGCCGGCCUACUGGUUUCGGAGCGCAGCACAAGUCGCACUCUCUAUCAGCAAAGGUCUAGCAUCCAUUAAGCCUUUUUUUCAACUUUUGACCUCGGAUCAGGUAGGGAUACCCGCUGAACUUAAGCAUAUCAAUAAGCGGAGGA
rnacentral:misc_RNA from 1 species